AAGCAAAGAUGUUUAGUUUACUCUUUCAGAUAGUUCCUGAACUGUAUUUAAACUGAGGUACCAUGCUCCCUUCCCUUAGGAGAAGCCAUUAAUCAUGCACAAGUGAUAUCUGUGGACACCAUAAAAAGUCAGAACAACGCUGAGAAAUCUUUUUAGGAAAUCGUGAUCCAAGUCAGAACUGAGACCGCAUUCUCUCAAGGGUCACCACGGUUUCCAGGCUUUCCAGAAGGACCAACUUGACCAUGAGGACCAGGAGCGCCCAGAGCACCGCUGGGACCAGGGCUACCAGGAGCACCACGCUCACCCUGGGAGCAAACAAAUGCAAGAGGAGAGACAGUGUGUUACUACUGACUUACACAGACUGGAACAGUUCUCCCAUGAGCAAGCAAUAAAGAAAAGAGCAAGUUACCUUGAAGCCAGGAGCACCAUCCCGGCCUGGAGGACCAUCAUUUCCAGGAUUGCCCUGUUAAAAUACAAUUAGGAUAUUGAAUUCCAUCACCUUCAUCUCAGACAGAGCUGUGUGUCAGCCUAAUUGCUUCAAAUGAGAGUAAGACAGCAGUGAGAUGAGAUAGCAUAAAUCUUGACUUUUCCCUACAGAUGCUAUUCUUAUAUUCCUUGAAUAUGUUACUGUUUUCAGAAAAAGUAAAAUACUCAAAUAUUUUAGGUUCUACAAGAUCAAUAYGGAAGAAAAUUACUGUCAUACAAUGCUUCUUCAUGAACUUCUUCAAUCCUUGCCUGCAAGGAUUUCAGACAGGAGUCACAGCUGAAUUACUCAGCUGCGGUUGCCAAAAUUGAUGAGGAAGAAGCGAGAGCAGGGCUCUCUCCUCCAAAUAACUAAAAGCAGAGGCAAGGCAUUAGGGGCAGCAGUUUGCUCAAAUUCCAUGCCCCAUUCUUAUGCACAGGGCAUAGUUCCUUUAUUCUGUUUUUACUCUCAUUGACCUGCAUGGC